GUGGGGAAUAUUGGACAAUGGGCGCAAGCCUGAUCCAGCCAUGCCGCGUGCAGGAUGAAGGCCUUCGGGUUGUAAACUGCUUUUGUACGGAACGAAAAGACUCCUUCUAAUAAAGGGGGUCCAUGACGGUACCGUAAGAAUAAGCACCGGCUAACUACGUGCCAGCAGCCGCGGUAAUACGUAGGGUGCAAGCGUUAAUCGGAAUUACUGGGCGUAAAGCGUGCGCAGGCGGUUAUAUAAGACAGAUGUGAAAUCCCCGGGCUCAACCUGGGAACUGCAUUUGUGACUGUAUAGCUAGAGUACGGUAGAGGGGGAUGGAAUUCCGCGUGUAGCAGUGAAAUGCGUAGAUAUGCGGAGGAACACCGAUGGCGAAGGCAAUCCCCUGGACCUGUACUGACGCUCAUGCACGAAAGCGUGGGGAGCAAACAGGAUUAGAUACCCGUGUAGUCC
rnacentral:rRNA from 1 species